UACGGGGGGGCAAGCGGUUGUUCGGAAUUACUGGGCGUAAAGGGCGCGUAGGCGGCCUUCUAAGUCAGACGUGAAAUCCCUCGGCUCAACCGAGGAACUGCGUCCGAUACUGGCAGGCUUGAAUCCGGGAGAGGGAUGCGGAAUUCCAGGUGUAGCGGUGAAAUGCGUAGAUAUCUGGAGGAACACCGGUGGCGAAGGCGGCAUCCUGGACCGGCAUUGACGCUGAGGCGCGAAAGCCAGGGGAGCAAAGCGGG
rnacentral:rRNA from 1 species